UUUACAGCCCGGCCUCAAAACGUCGUUAGCAUGGCAUCGACGACAGAACUGGCAACCAAAGAAGAUUUCGAUGAAGAAACAAUUUCUCACCAUGAUCCUGGUUGAAUCCCGCGUACAGUAGUCCGUUCCCAUGUGCGUUUGAUGGUGGGAGGACCGGGUCUGCAGCUGCCAUUUUCCAGUGGGAAAGAGAAAUGGCCAUGUAUUUACUAGGAAAGGAAGCUCAUCCACCAUGGCAGAAGAGGAAAUGCCAGACUGUUGAAUGGGGAAACAAGAACAAACAAUGAGGCAUGAGGAUUGGGUGUUGAGGGACCACUUGCCACAUUGUCCAAUUCCAACAGGAGUGCAUCCCUCAGACCAUCCAGUACAUGGACAUCCUUUACCAGUCUGAUCUGAGCGUGGGGGUCCAGUUAUAGAGACUACAGCACAUUGACCCUGUGGACGGACAGGCCAAUAACUCAUCAAAUAUGAUACAAUAUUGUGUAAAACAUUGAAUUUGUAGAUGCAUCUAGGGCUGUGGCCAUCACAGUAAUUUACUGUUAAUUAACGUAAACACAUUUAAGCAUUUCCUGGCUUCUACACAAGCCACAGAUGCAGACCUUUGGAACAUCUACAUUUCUUUUAAUGUCUAAUAAAUAACACAAACAAGUCAAUGACACAGUAGAGAAAAGAAAGUCCUAUAUACAGUGUGUGUAAAAGGCAUGAGGAGGUAGGCAAUAAAUAGGCCAUAGGAGUGAAUAAUUACAAUUUAGCAGAUUAACACUGGAGUGAUAAAUGAGCAGAUGAUGUGCAAAUAGAGAUAUUGGUGUGCAGAAGAGGAAAUCAAAUAAAAACAGUAUGGGGAUGAGGUAGGUAGAUUGGGUGGGCUAUUUACAGAUGGACUAUGUACAGCUGCAGUGAUCAGUUAACUGCUCAGAUAGUUGUUUAAAGUUGGUGAGGGAAAUAAAAGUCUCCAACUUCAGCGAUUUUUGCAAUUCGUUCCAGUCACUCUGAAUCACUGUUCACUCACAUCACUCUCCAUCAUGUGAUCGGGUCAUUCUCACAGGCUACAAGUGAAGACAGACACAUCGGAGACGCAACUGCGCGCUACCAUUGGCUUCCCUGAAAAUAGGUACUGACAAGAGAAGCAAUAUGAGUCUGUCAGAGGUCAUCACACUGGAUUGGGAUGGUGAUGGAGGUUUUGGUGGUCCACACAAUGAAGAAGGUGUCCCUUCCAGUGAUUUGGUGCCAGUAAGGAUGGUCUUCAGAGGCAAUAAUACCCUCCCUCCUUGAUAUAGAAAUCCUUUGACUUCACUGCCUCUUCAAUGGUAAGGUCCCUUGCACUAUAGGGACACUUGACUUCCAUCACUGCUGUGGUGCCAACCAGACCAUCUGGUGAGGCACCCAGGAUCCCAGACCCAGUGACCCAAAGCCCUGGCUCAUGUACAUCCAUCCCUGUAGCCAUUUUGAAUGCCUUGAUGCAUCUUCGUUAUCUGUGCCCCACUUUACAGACAACACCCCAUCCAUUCUGAUAUGUGGACCCUUUUUUAGCAGCGAGGGAGAAAUGAGCUUGGCCCUAACCACUGCUCCAUAAUUGCUAGCAGUCAACCUCCCUCUCCUAAUGUUGUGCCAGUUGGGGUUGGUGUGCUGUCCAACUGGUGCCUGCCAUAUAGCCUCCUGCUGCUCCAUCCACAGUGCCAUGCCAGACAGGAUGCCUGCAUGCCCCAGUUGCCCUUGUUUUUUAAUAAUGUCCGUUACAGACAGGGAUGACAGGGAAGGGGUUGUUCUGGCUCAGGUUCAAGGAGUCAUGCCAUUCCACUGAACCUUCCCAAGAGACGGUUCCUUUUAACCACUCCUCUGUGGGCUCUAGGGACAGAGGGUUGUAGUGUUCGGCCGGGUACAGGUCCUCCACUGAAUGUACCUGGUUGGGCACAGCUUGCUUCCUCCACCAUACUGCUGAUAUUGUGAACCGCCCAACUAGGCUGCGUGGCUACACUUAUGAGCUCCAUGGAGGCAUUCGCAUGUGUUAGAGAGAAUCCCCUGGUCACCUAUAGAGAACUGCUAAGAGGAAGGAUGUUAAAUGCCACAUGCCUUUCCAUACAUGACUUUGAAAACCAUGAAAUGCAUUUGUUGUAAGAAAUGUGCUAUAUAAAUCAAGUUUGAUUUGAUUGAUGACAUUAAAGCUGUAAAAUAUUUAAUUAA